GUGUUAAUUUAGCAUUUUUCACACCCCUUGGAAAAACAUUUAAGAAAACAGUUAACUCCUUGAAAAAAAAAUAGGGUAGAAUGAUAUAGGAGACUCACAAAGCUGAUACUAACUAAUCUGGUAUCAAGGCAUGGUUGAUUAAUACAAGUAAAUUGAGGAGGAUAACAGACUCGUCUCUCACAGAGUCAAGCUUUUCCUCUUACAGAAGUUUACCAAUUUGUGGAGUUCUUCUCAAAUGUCAUAUCCCAUGAGCCUCAAAUUCUGCAUACAUUCUCAAAAGGGUAUUGUUUACAUUCUAAGUCUGAACUUAAACCCCCCAGUUCCAAUCAUCACAACAGGGAAUGUGAAUUUAUCAGUUUUUAAUCCAAUUAUUUGAAGCUGGUUAAAGAGCUUCAGAGACUCUACUUCUUUGGAAUAUGCUCUCAUCAUUGUGUUCCAUGCGAAAAUUGGUGGAAUAAUGGGAGAAGUAUCGAAGAUAGUACGGGAGAAUUGGAGAGAUAUUAAAGAUGAGAAUGAUAUGAAUUGGGAGAGACGAUACUCGUCGUGAUCAACGGAUGUUUUGAUAAUUAGAGAAUGAAGUUGGAGAAGAUGGAUGGUCGUUUUGGAACGUUGGAAAGUGCCUCUAUUUGAUGGGAAAUCAUUUCCAAGGAUUCUUGUUUUUGUGUAUAUUCAACCAAUAUGAGUUUUUAGAUGGAAAGUAGACACCUAAUAACUUAGUGACUCCUUUUGUUUUUUUAUCUGAUUUUGUGAUAGGUAGACUGGUGGCUCUACCCCUGCUCCUAUUGAUGUUUAUCCAUCUUUUCAUAAAACUUAGAUAUCUUUGUAGUCGAUUUUUUUUGAAUCGAUCAAUUGAUUCUUUUUUUGUUUGGAUUAUAAAAGGAUCAUAUUGUCAGAUUAAUUAUUUUAGCUACUCAGAAAAUAAGCAUUGUGGGGUGUUUUAACUUUUGCGCUGCUUGAUAAUUGUGAUUGAAAAGCGUAAAACUUCAUUGAAAGUGCAUUAAAUUAUUUUUUAUGUUUUAUUGUUGAUAUAUUGUUUGGAUCUACAAAAUUGAGAUAUCAAACGGAGAUGCAUUUUAUGCGUAUUUUUCAAUCUUUUUAAGUCUUUUCAAUUAUUUGUAUAAAUUCCAACAUCGUGCUACGGAUCCAUCUAUUUUCUCUUAUUUUUUCUUUUCUUUCUUCAACGUCGAAUGUUGAAUAAAAGCUCCAUUUAUUUUUAUUCUUAACUUCUUUUUUUUCCACAACAUCAUUAUUCAAUACUUUUAUUGUUUUCAACUUCGGUUUGAAGAUAUGUAAAGGUUGCAGGAGUAUUGGAGCUGAAAAAUGAUAUUGUCAUCGCUCUCGAUCUCGAGUGUUGUUGUUCAUAGAUUAGGAUUUAUAAGGUUCUGGUCCUGACUAUUUAUUUGUCUUUACCAAGUAGACACCUAAUAAUUUAGUGAUUCCUUUGCUUUUUUAUCUGAUUUUGUGAUAGAGAGACUUGGUGUUGAUAUGCUGAAGUUUAACACCGAAGCAGCAAGGUAGACUGGUGGUUGUGAUGAUGGCUCUGCCCCUGCUCUUAUUCAGAGGAUCAUUAUUCAAUACUUUUGUUGUUUUCAACUUCGGUUUGAAGAUAUGUAAAAGGUUGCAAGAAUAUCGAAGCUGGAAAAUAUUGUCAUCACUCUCGAUCUUGAGUAUUGUUGUUUAUAGAUUAGGAUUUAUAAGGUUCUGGUCCUGACUAUUUAUUAUCUUAUUUGAAUUAUUAAUUUGGAAAAAUUAAAUUACUUUUGAAUGAUAUCAUUUUUAAAACAUAAUGAAUUGAUGAGUGCAAUUGUAAUUAUAAUGUUUAUAUUUAUAUAUUGUGUUUAAGUGGUUUGUUACUUUUUAAAUAUAUAUUAAGUAUGAAAGACGGCUAUAUAUAUACCCCUCUACUUUGUUUUAUUUUUGAACUUUGGCCCCCAUUAUACUUUUUGGUGAUUUGAGCCCCUACUGUCCAGCAAAAUUCUAUAUAUGCCCUUUACUUUGAUGGAGACGCUACAUGGAUGAUACGGAUUGCAUGACCCCGCUUAAAUUUAAAAAACAAAAAUUGAUUGACCGGGUUUAACCCGCUACCCAUCUAAAAUACUCACCCCAAUUAAAACCAUAAACCUAUCUUAAGUCUCUUAUUUUAGAAAGUGAGAGGUCACGAACGGCUACUACAUCUCUCUUGCGAUUCUUUGAACCCAACCUAUGCCAUUGACGGGUUGAAGCUCAAAAAGUUUUUUGGAUUAGAGAUGGUUCAUCUGGACCUGGUUUUCAAUCAUGGUGGUGGCUAGAUAACUAAGCCACAUGUUCUCUACUCAAAGAUGAAUGUUCACCUUUGGAGAGGGUCUGAGUCAGACCUUCUGUCCUUUAAAGAUUUAGUUGAUGAAUACAUUAAAAAACUACGGUUUGUAGCGGUUCAGCAACUAAUUAUUGCUGGUCCAUCUGGAAAACAUUAUGAAAUUAAAGAUGAUGUUGGAAUUAGGCACCUAUUGUGUCCUGUUAGUGAUAAGUUUAGUGUUAUCAAUAUUUAUGUUAUAG